UAAGAGAACCUCUCUUAUAAACCUUUGUAAAUUGUUAACAUGGAAAUACAGGAUUUUCGUUUUUGACAGCUGGCAAAGUUUCUUUUUCUUAAUGGUAAUUCUAGGAUCAAAAGAAAGUACUAAUACUUGGCUAAUCACCAAGAGACAAGUUGUUAAUGGGUCAUUAAGCGUUGGCAAGGCUAAAGGCAGAAGCUGCAGUUACCUGCUUUUCUCAAGCAACAACAGCAGAGUGAGCAGAGGUUUGCCUGCUGUCACAGACCCACGGAAGAUUUCUACAGGUACCACAUUUACACAGGACCCACUAUGAUAACACUGAUCGGGAAACAAUGUGGUUGAACCGUCUGAUUCUGCCUUUAAACAGCAAAGGUCAGAGAAAAAGUCAUCAUCUGGGGUUUGUACCUGACUGGAACUAAAAGGGGGCACCUACGUAAUUUACACUGUACAAAUGGGAUCCAAACAAUAAAAAUGUAUCACUGUGAACAAGA